rnacentral:misc_RNA from 1 species
AAUUCUCAAAUUGAGGUUCUUUUUUCUGAAUCUUGGUUUGGUUUUGGGCUUUGCUGUGUCACUACGGCUGGUCUUAAAAGUAUUAGCUGAAUCUUGGUGUAGGCCUGGUUUGACUCGGCGUGAUAAUUUACUGAUCGCUGAGGACAUUCUUUGGAAUGGCCAGACGUAUCCUUGAAUCGCUUCUAAUCAGGAACUUGUUCCUAAUUUUUCAU